AACGAACGCUGGCGGCAGGCCUAACACAUGCAAGUCGAGCGAGGACUUCGUUCCUAGCGGCGGACGGGUGAGUAACGCGUGGGAACGUGCCCUUUGCUUCGGAAUAGCCCUGGGAAACUGGGAGUAAUACCGGAUGAGCCCUUUGGGGGUAAGAUUUAUGGGGGCAGGCUCGGGCCGCGUUGGAUUCGGUAGUUGGUGGGGGAAUGGCCUACCAACCCGACGAUCCAUAGCUGGUGGGGGAGGAGGGUUAUGCACACUUGGAAUGAGACACGGACCAGACUCCUACGGGGGGCAGCAGUAGGGAAUCUUAGACAAUGGGGGAAACCCUGAUCAAGCCAUGCCGCGUGAGCGAUGAAGGCCUUAGGAUUGUAAAGCUCUUUCAGCUGGGAAGAUAAUGACGGUACCAGCAGAAGAAGCACCGGCUAACUCCGUG
rnacentral:rRNA from 1 species